rnacentral:SRP_RNA from 1 species
UCGUGCUAGAUGGGGAGCUAGCGGUGCCCUGUAACCUGCAAUCCGCUACAGCAGGGUUGAAUUCCCUCUAUCGGCUUUAGUCUGUUGGGUCUGCCUGAUCAAAGUGGUAUUGAGAAUUGGGUCCCAUGCGGCAGAAACUCAUGAACUCCGUCAGAUCCGGAAGGAAGCAGCGGUAAGUGAUCACUUCUGAGUGCCGUGGAUUAACCUGGUUUGAGCUAACUUGAUCUGUAACGCCAGUAGAGUACUGCCAACAGAGGGUGCACGA